rnacentral:rRNA from 1 species
UACGAAGGGAGCUAGCGUUGUUCGGAAUCACUGGGCGUAAAGCGCACGUAGGCGGAUGUGUCAGUCAGGGGUGAAAUCCCGGAGCUCAACUUCGGAACUGCCUUUGAUACAGCACGUCUUGAGUCCGAUAGAGGUGGGUGGAAUUCCCAGUGUAGCGGUGAAAUGCGUAGAUAUUGGGAAGAACACCUGAGGCGAAGGCGGGUUGCUGGGCCGACACUGACGCUGAGGCGCGAAAGCCAGGGGAGCAAACGGG